AUUCUUGUGCUCGGGCACGUACUGUCGCCAGUGAGGUCUUUACCGAGGCACAGUCUUUUGCUGAUUGCAAAUUACACAUCCGAACACGUCUGUCGGCUUCGGCCUUCAGCAAUUUUUGGAAAACCCUCACAUUCGUGACAAUUAGCUCUAUAUGCAGGCUGUGU
rnacentral:snRNA from 1 species